AAUCAACGCUGGCGGCGUGCCUAACACAUGCAAGUCGUACGCGAAAGCCCCGAAAGGGGUCAGUAGCGUGGCAAACGGGUGAGUAACGCGUGGGUGACCUGCCUUCGAGUGGGGGAUAACGUUCCGAAAGGGACGCUAAUACCGCAUGACAUCCUGCCUUUGAAGAGGUGGAGAUCAAAGCCGGGGAUCGCAAGACCUGGCGCUUGAAGAGGGGCCCGCGUCCGAUUAGCUAGUUGGUGGGUAACGGCUCACCAAGGCUUCGAUCGGUAGCCGGCCUGAGAGGGCGGACGGCCACACUGGGACUGAGACACGGCCCAGACUCCUACGGGUGGCAG
rnacentral:rRNA from 1 species